GGCCUCGGCACCCGGGGGAGGGGGGGGGGCCGCGGAUUGGGUCACUUGGCGAAGGGGGUUAUUUCUGUAAGGUGGUUUGGGGGACGGGGGGGGCGUCCCUUGGCUGCAGCAUCUUUGCAAGGGGAGGGGGGGGGGGUGUCUGUAGAGGUUUGCACACCCCCCCACCCCCAUCUGAGGUAGCUCUGUAAGGGGAAGUCUGGGAGGGUUUCCUUCCCCCCCCUCAUCUGGAGUAGCUCUAUAAAGGGGGGGGGGGGUGUCUGUGGGGGUUUGCACACCCCGUUUGGCUGGGAGGGAUCUGUGGGGUUUUACUUCACCCCCCGCCCGCCGGCUGGGGUAGCUCUGCAAGGGGGGGGGGGGUGUCUUUUGGGGUUCCGUGUUGUGUUAUGUACACCCCCCCCCCCCCCCCCCAAUUUGGGAUAGCUCCCCAAGGGAGAAGCGGACAGCAGGCUCGCAUUUAACCCGAUGUUAGGUGCGUGGGGAUUUGCAGCGUAAGAGAGCAGGGGCGAGCGGGGGUUUAAACCCCCACCCAGGACAGGGUGAACAUCCCCCCCCAGGGGUUAGCAGGGUGUGGGGGGUAGGCCAGGAGAACCAGAGCAGCCCAAGGAGGGGCCACCGAGCCCCCAAACCCCACCCGGUGAGGUCAGGCAGGAGCCCCCAGCUGCGGGCGCACCCCCCCCCCCCCCCCCACUCUCUGAGCCCGUGGAUGCUGCACCCCCGGAGAUGAUGCCCCCUGAGGAGGAGAGCCCUGAUGGCGGUGGGGAAGGGGACGGGGACAGUGGCCUUGUCCUCCUGCGAGCCCUGAAGAGCGGCAGCACCCGGAAGCAGGGCUGUGACCCCUUCGCCCAAACCCAGCGCAGCAAACUGCAGCAUCGCCGGGCGCGGAUUAACCAGCAGAUCAACAAGGAGAUGAGGAUGCGAGCCGGGGCAGAAAACCUUUUCAGGGCCACCAGUAACCACAAGGUCAAAGAGACGGUCGCCCUGGAGCUGAGCUAUGUGAACUCCAACCUGCAGCUGCUGAAGGAGGAGCUGGAGGAGCUGAACAGCAGCGUGGACGUGUACCAGAACGACAGGUCGCUGUCUUCUUCCAGCGAGUCCAUCAGCGUCCCCAUGAUCCCUUUGGGCCUGAAGGAGACGAAGGAGCUGGAUUUGCUGGUACCGCUGAAGGAUCUCAUCAGUGAACACUAUGGAGAGGAGGGUGCCUUGUUUGAAAAAGAAAUCAAAGAGUUCAUGGAGCUGCGGCAGGCGAUGCGCACCCCGAGCCGCAACGAAGCCGGGCUCGAGCUCUUGAUGGAGUAUUACAACCAGCUCUACUUCCUCGACAGCCGUUUCUUCCCUCCCACGAAAAGCCUGGGUGUUUUCUUCCACUGGUACGACUCGCUGACGGGGGUCCCAUCCCACCAGCGGGCACUGGCCUUCGAGAAGGGCAGCGUGCUCUUCAACAUCGGGGCCCUGCACACCCAAAUCGGAGCGCGGCAGGACCGCGCGUCCCUGCCGGGGCUCAACCAGGCCAUCGAUGCCUUUCAGAAGGCAGCCGGUGCCUUUAACUACUUGAAGGAAAACUUCUCCAACGCUCCCAGCCUGGAUAUGAGCGCCGCCUCCUUGAACAUGUUGGUACGGCUGAUGGUCGCCCAGGUCCAGGAGUGUGUCUUUGAGAAGAUGACCUUGCUGCGUGCCCAGCACGACUUCCUUGCCCGGCUGCAGCUCGCCCAGGAGGCGGCAAGGGUGGAAGACGUCUACUCGCUGGUGCACCAGACGAUGACCCAGGCCCACGUGAAGGACUACGUUCCCUUCUCUUGGACCACCAUGGUCCACGUCAAGUCGGAGCAUUUCAAAGCCCUCUCCCACUACUUCGCUGCCAUUGCUCUCUGCGACUGCCCCGCGACAUCCGAUGCUGAAAUGCCGGAGCAGGAGAAGGCUUUUAUCCAGUUCCACGUCACCAUGCCAGAGGGACCGUCGCUCCGCGUCCUGCUGCAGGACCCUGAGGAGAGGAGAAAGCUGGGCAAAGCUCACCUGAAGAAAGCCAUCAUGAAGCACGAGGAAGCCAUGAGGAUUCACGGUUUGUGCAAGAUCCUGCGGAAGAUGGAUAUCCUCCAGGAGGUCCUCUCCUUCGCCCACAAACGCUCGCUGAGCAAAUACUCGGAAAUCGACCACGAGGAGGACUUCUUUGAAACCGGAGAUGCCCCAGACAUUCACCCCAAAACGCACCAGAAACCAGAGAUAAAACCCCCCAACUUCUCCCAGGUGAAGGUGACCGACCUCUUCCACAGGCUGGGGCCCCUUUCGGUUUUCUCGGCCAAAAACAAGUGGUACCCAGCGCGGAGAGUCCACCUGAUGAGAGGAGAGAACGGUUUUGGGUUCACACUGCGAGGAGACUCCCCCGUCCUCAUUGCUGGUGUCAUCCCGGGGGGCUGCGCUGCCGAAGCCGGGCUGAAGGAGGGAGACUACAUCAUCUCGGUGAACGGCAAGGACUGCAAGUGGUCCAAGCACGCCGAGGUGGUGCAGCUGCUGAAGAGCACGGGGGAGGAGGGAGUGGAGAUCGGUGUGAUAACCCUGCAGGGUUCAGAGGGACCGAAAUCCGCAGAUAAGAAGCCAGCAGCAAUGUCCUCGGGCAGCGGGCUGCUGAAGAGCAACAAGGAGAACAGCCGAAAGAGCCUGAUGAACAGCAAGAGCGCCAGCACGCUGCUGGUCUGGAGCAAGAAGAGCAAGAGGAGCAAGAAGAGCACCUACGGCGUCCCCUUCACCGCGGUGGGUGACAACGAGGCCACGUACUGAAAGCCACCGCCGGGUCAGGCUGUGGCCCCACGAGCUCCGGGGCUGGCUGCCCGUGGACCCUCGCAAGCACCAGUGGCCUGUCGGUGCUGCAAGGACCGUGGGGACGUGCUGCUGGUCAGAGCCUCUCCAAAGAGGCGAGCGCUGCACAGUACCGGACCCCUCCGUCUCCCAACCCCUGUGCUAAACGAUCCUCAGCUAAACAAUGUGGGGAAACGCUGGUUUAUUCUCAAUUUUUUAAAAUAUUUUUUGGUUUUGGUUUGGUUUUUUUUUUUUUUUUGCUCUUAAGGGGUCGUGGGGAGCUGUGCUUUGCCAUCAAGCAGGGACUGGUUUGUGUCUUCUGCUCAGUGCAAGGAGCAGCCAAACCAAGCCCCGGCCAUUAAAGCAAAAGCUGUAACCUUUAGCAUCUCUUGGGCUUUCUCUGCAAAUGGUGGAAGACGGCGCUGCUGCCACCGCUCGCCGAGAGCUGCUGGCAGAGCUGACUUGUUCAGCAGCUCCAGCUGGAGGUCACCUUCGACUCCCCUUUUUGGGAGAGGGGAUAGCUGGGGCAUCCUUGACUCACAGUGACCCCAUCGUGGGGUCCAGGACAGACCUGCCCAGGCAGCACUGGGCUGUGCAUCUCUGCCGCGGUACCAGUUAGGGAUGUCCCAGUGAAAUGGGUUGAAGUUAGGGCAGGUUUGACCAUUUUUCAGCGCUCUUUAUUUUAUAUUUUUAAUGGACACCCAGGUGGGCCCUGCUGACACAGCCCAGCUGCACAGCCUGCUUCUUUGGAAGAAAAGGGAAAGACUUAACAUGCAUUUGUUGUCUCUCUUUUUUUAAUGAGUAGAGGUGGAUUGCCCUAAAUAUGUGAGUAGAUUAAUAGCUAAGAGCCUUGGGUUUUUUUCCUUGGUAUGAGAUUAAAAUUCCGGGAAGAUAGCUCCUCCAGAUUAUUAAACUACUAAAUUUGUGCUAGUAUUGGAUCUUGCACACAUUGCUAAUAUCCUAACACUGUGCUGUCAGCAUUCGUACCCGAGCUGGGCUGAUGGAUACAUGCAUCUUGAUAAUUGUACUGGAAAUGCUGGGAGACUACGAAUACGCGCUUAGAUAUAUUGGCAAAAUCUUCUCAACCCCAUUUCUGCCUUGUGCAUUAUUUUUCUGAAGGCUAAAGAGCUGUCUGGUCUUCAGUGCUUGGAUGAUCUUGGGGUCUGCGUUUCACUGGACCCCACCUCCUCCCCAUCCUGGGAAGAUGACCAAGCCCGUAGCUGUGGGGCUGGACCAUGGGUCCUGGCAGCCAGACGAGUCCCUUGUUCAAGGAACAUAAACCCUACAGGAGGUGAAAAGACAGAGUAACUCCUCUUCAGAGACACAGAGGCUGAGCCCACUGGAGGGCAGCAGCACCCUGUCCAAUGCACCCACUCCUCCCACAGCACCAGCACCCCGCAUCCACCCAGCCAGGCCGGCACCCCUCGACCCAUGUUGACACCUGAAGCCCACACCGCUGCUGCUGCUGCUGCGGCGGCUCUUGAUAUCCAGAGCUAUUGACUGAGUCCCAACACCAUGCUACGGUGACAAAGAGCAAUGCUUGCAUGGGUGCAGCACCCUGGGGGUUUCCUCGGAGGGGACACCCUUGCUGAGGCACCAGGAUGCUCCUUGUGAGCUGUCAGAGCAACCCAGUUGGUCUUUUAAACCUCACCUGCAGAGAACAGAAGAGUCUUUGCUCACAGCUGGGCUCGGAUUUUGUUCAACGCUUGGCCCAUGAGCUUCCUUUGGUCCUGUCCAUGCUCUUCUUUUCCUUCUGCUGCUGCAGGUGAGAAAGAACCAUCUCUCAACCCUGGCAGGCAGCAUCUGGGUGCAUGUCUAGGGCGAGAGGAGAUGGGAAGUGAAUCAGCACAUCUCCUUGGCGGAGGCAUUUAGAAUAUCCUCAAGCCCUGGUUGGGGGUUUGGGCAUCCGUGCUUUAGCGGGAGCUGCUUAUUUCAUGUUUCUCCUGGCUGUGGCUGCAGGUUUCAGCCCUGCUGUCAACCCUCCCCAUUCCUUUGAAUGCACGUUCCCCAUCCACAGGCAGGUCAACGUCCACACUACGCUGACACCCACAGCUACCGCCCCAUGCCAUGAGGACAACCCAAGGCCAGGCUUGGCUGGAACCCCACCACCUUCCCCAUCACCUUGCAGCAUCCUUUCAGGGAGGAUUUUCCCCAUCCCAGCAUCCAGGCUUCAGCAGGAAAAGGACCGGGUAAGCCGGCUCCUCCGGAGCAGACGGGUUUCCAUUAGAAAUGCAAGGACGAACAUUAAUCCUCAGGCUCUGCCAAGUCUGGCUUUGCCAAGCACAAGCAUGAGCUCAGGGCAAGGAGCAGCUCCCCAGCUUGAUCCCCCCACCCACCUCCUCCCCCUCCUCCACCGCUCCACAGUCUUUCUCCCCCCCCCCCCCCCCGCCAACCUCACGGACGGGGAACAGCGCUGACCCCCCACAUCAGAUCAGGCUUUCCAAGGGGACAAGACCUAUCACACAACUGGGGUGAUACCAGGCAGAGUUUCAAAUUAAAAAUCUGGAAUGAAAACUAUGGGUGUGAAGAUGCUUUUUGGCUGGUUUUCAAGCACUGAAACCCCGCGCCAAUCCCCGGGGGGGGAGCUCACGAGGUGAGCCCCACCAGGAUGUCCCUGCUCUCCUGGACCCCAGCUCCUCCUCCUGCCCCUGUCCCCAUCCCCAGGCUUUCCGAGCCUUGAGGAAAGGCUGUGAAUACCAAGCUCACCUGGGGAACUGAAAAGUGGUGAGCAAGGAGCAGCUGAUGGAUCGGCUGAGCUGCUGCCGGCAAUUUCAUGCAGGGUAAAUCCAUUUAUCACCCCGGCAUGAGGAGGGGAGCCACCGGCAGCACGAGCAGCCAGCAGAUGAGCACAUCUGUCACCGGUAGGCAGGGGGGACUCCAGGGCCUCCCCUGUACCAGAAAACCCUGAGCAAUAUCCUGAUUCCCAGGGAGAGGCACCUUUUUGGGGGACGGAGCUACAGUGAGGGAUCAUGGCUUGUGGUGCUCAUGAACCUCCAUCCUCCUCCCUUCCCCGGGACACGACCGAGGGUGAUGGUGGGGGUGGAGAUGAGAUUUCACAAGAGCCGGUAGCACAGUGGGUGAAAUCAAGAGCAGUGGAGCAAAUCAGUGGGCUGGGGAGGGACAGGGGUGUCACACUGCAAGAUGGGAUUCCCCAGUAGCUCCAAGGGCUCCUGGGUUGCCCAGAGGCUUCGGGACUGGUGUACCCAAGGGCUGAGCAAGGUCUUUUUGAGACUUUUCUCUCUCUCAUGGGCCACCGGCACAUUGCUGGUGGUGAGGUGCUGCACAGGACUCUCCACCCCAUAGCAUCUUGUCGCCCUGGCAGCGGUUUCUCAGCCCCUUUUC